GUAGACGUGGCAGACAGAAAUCUAAACAUCACCCAAAGCAGUGAAGUCCCAGGCAUUAAUCUUCAACAAAUAUUUAUUGAAAUCUGGCAGUCCAGACAUGCUUAUUCCAGGAGAAGCUGACAAGUAAAAGAGGGAGAAAGAGAGACAGGCAUGCGACCAAGCACAGUUUAUUUUCACAAGCUGCAUGCUAGCGAACAAAGACCUAGGAGAGCACAUCAAAAAAGGCAAUAUGUUCUGGCUGGGGGCUUGGAGCAGUCUGGAAGAACUCACAGAAGUGAUGACAUUCAAAGAAGGCCUGAGGAAGUAAAGAAAUUCACCGGGCAGAGAAAGAAGGGAAGGACAUUUUACAUCAGAGUGGGAACAGCACGAGCAUAUCAUGGCAGCGAAGAGCAUAUGGCACUUUUAUGAUAGAACGUAAGAUGCAGAGGUGGGAAGGUGGCAGAGGACAUUCAAAAGUGACGUUGCAGUCAUAUUCUGAGGGAUCUGACAGAUGAGCUGUUAAGAAAUAUGGACUCUGUUCUAUCAGUAUUAUGAAAUCAUUGAAUCAUUCAUUCAUUGAAAUGGUAUUUUCGGAGGACUUACUAUGUGCUAAGUACUGUGUCAGCCUCUGAAGAUUAAAAUAAAAAGGAAGGCCCUCCAGGGACUCACAGUCUGGUAGGGAGAAAGGCAGGCAAACAGUCACAGUACGGGCAUCAUAAGCUUUUAAAGCUCCAGCCAUUCUACCUGCCAUCCAAGCAGUGAGAAGAGGAGAGAGAGAGGAAGACAAAUAGGAGAAGAGCUUUCUAUACAGCAUUCCUGGAUGUCUCGUCCAACAUUUGUUGGAUGUUAUUGGAUGUUCCAUCAUACUUGUGGGCCAGGACUUAGUUAAAUGGCUACACCUUGCUACAAGGAAGUCUGGGAAAUACAGUCUUUCAGCUGGAUACAUCCCCCUGGCCUGAAUAAAAGCUGGGUUCUCUUACAAAGCACAAAAAGGGGAUUGAAUAUUGGUUAGGCACCUGUCAAUCUUUCAUAUCAGCCCACGUGAGAUAGCCAGGGUUUGGUGAAAUAAAAUGCUGUUUCUCCUCAAAACACUUCUCUCUUCCUGAUUGGGGAGGGACCCUGUUCUCUGCAGAGAAAUUCUUUCUCAUGACAGGGCCAACAUGUCUGCCAAAAGACAGCAAUAGGACUUCCCAAUCAUUCUAUAUAUUUAAGGGAGACUUUUUAAAAACUACAAUACGGUUGAACUCAUGUGAUUUUUUUUUUUGCCAUGAAGUUUCUUGUUAAGCAUUGAACAUUUAAAAGUAAAUUUUGACUAAUGUGAAAUAAAAGAAUGUUACUUGAAGCAA
rnacentral:lncRNA from 1 species